rnacentral:rRNA from 1 species
AUUGAACGCUGGCGGCAGGCUUAACACAUGCAAGUCGAACGAGUGGAGGACGGGUGAGUAAUGCUUGGGAAUCUAGCUUAUGGAGGGGGCUAACUACGGGAAACUGUAGAUAAUACCGCGUACCCUAGGAUGAGCCCAAGUGGGAUUAGGUAGUUGGUGAGGUAAAGGCUCACAAAGCCGACGAUCUCUAGCUGGUCUGCGAGGAUGACCAGCCACACGGGGAGUGAGACACGGCCCAGACUCGUGCGGGAGGCAGAAGUGGGGAAUAUUGCGCAAGGGGGGAAACCUGACGCAGCAAUGCGGCGGGAAUGAAGAAGGCCUUCGGUUUGUAAAGUUCUUUCGGUAGCGAGGCGUUAACUACAGAAGAAGCACCGGCUAACUCCGUGCCAGCCGCCGCGGUAAUUC